rnacentral:rRNA from 1 species
UACGGGGGGAGCAAGCGUUGUUCGGAUUUACUGGGCGUAAAGGGCGCGUAGGCGGCCACCGCAAGUCAGUUGUGAAAUCUCUGGGCUUAACCCAGAACGGUCAGCUGAUACUGCGGGGCUAGAGUGCAGAAGGGGCAACUGGAAUUCCCGGUGUAGUGGUGGAAUGCGUAGAUAUCGGGGGGAAUACCAGAGGCGCAAGCGGCGCCCUGGCCUCGGCCUGACGCUCAGGUGCGAAAGCGUGGGGAGCGAACGGG